rnacentral:rRNA from 1 species
AUGGUAAUUGUCACAACUCGAUUCCCAAAGGUAGCAGACAUGGUGAAAACACUUGAUCCACUAGAGCUGCGAGGUUUGGAGUCUAAUGACUUCUUCACAUUCUUUGAAGCAUGUAUAUUUGGUGAUCACAAGCCUGAGCAUUACGAAUAUGAGUUAGCUGAUAUUGCAGGAAAAAUUGCAAAUAAGCUAAAGGGUUCCCCACUAGCAGCCAAAACAGUUGGUGGACUAUUGCGCAAGGACCUAUCUCAGGAACAUUGGAAUGAAGUUCUUAAAAAACAUGAGUGGCUGAAGCAGCAAAAUAAUGAUGAGAUCAUGCCAUCUUUAAAAAUUAGCUACGAUUAG